AUUGAACGCUGGCGGCAGGCCUAGCACAUGCAAGUCGAGCGGCAGCGGGAAAGUAGCUUGCUACUUUUGCCGGCGAGCGGCGGACGGGUGAGUAAUGCCUGGGAAAUUGCCCAGUCGAGGGGGAUAACAGUUGGAAACGACUGCUAAUACCGCAUACGCCCUACGGGGGAAAGCAGGGGACCUUCGGGCCUUGCGCGAUUGGAUAUGCCCAGGUGGGAUUAGCUAGUUGGUGAGGUAAUGGCUCACCAAGGCGACGAUCCCUAGCUGGUCUGAGAGGAUGAUCAGCCACACUGGAACUGAGACACGGUCCAGACUCCUACGGGAGGCAGCAGUGGGGAAUAUUGCACAAUGGGGGAAACCCUGAUGCAGCCAUGCCGCGUGUGUGAAGAAGGCCUUCGGGUUGUAAAGCACUUUCAGCGAGGAGGAAAGGUUGAAGCCUAAUACGUAUCAACUGUGACGUUACUCGCAGAAGAAGCACCGGCUAACUCCGUGCCAGCAGCCGCGGUAACAC
rnacentral:rRNA from 1 species